GGAAUCCAUCCUUGCCCCAGUCGUUUUUUAUCCCACCCUGAUUCCUAGUGGGCAGGGACAAGAAUAGUAAAACCCGGCCCUGGCCUAUCAAAUUCUACAACAAUUUAAUUAACUCACAAGAUAUUCACACCGUAGAUAAAUUCAAAUCAUAUCAAACAUUACAUAUUCAUAACCAUCAUCAUUUCCAAUGGGAUAUAUUAAGUGCAAACAGCCAAGAAAAAUUCAAAAUUGUCCUUAUAAUGUAAUCAACAAAUUGGCUAAUUGCUCCAAGCACAGAUUCUUAAAGCUUUGAGGCAGUG
rnacentral:misc_RNA from 1 species